rnacentral:tRNA from 1 species
UGGAGAGAUACCGAAGUGGUCAUAACGGCGUUGCCUUGAAAGCAUCUGUGGUGUAAAAGCCCCGCGGGUUCGAAUCCUGCUCUCUCCGU